AUGGGAAAGAGAUUAAGGAAAAAAAAAAAAAAAAAAAAAAAAGGAAAGGGGGAAAAAAGCUCUUCCUCACACGGAGAGAAAGGUUCUGCUGAUAGAGCUGCAGCACUCGCCAUGGGAAGGUUAGAGACUGGGGAAGUGCUGGCUUCUGCGAGCACACAGCGAUUUGCAAGUGAAUGCGAGGGGAGGGCGCAUCCGAGAGGAGGGCUUUGCUUGAAAGGCAUCCCCUCCCCCGCAGGGCAGAAAGACUCUCUGUUUCAAGGCUAAGGUAAUCAGCCCAAUCUAAUCCGCCUGUGUCCGUAACACAAUCUCAGGAACAGGACUGCUUCUUGCAUUUUUUUUUUUUUUUAAACAGAUAGUUCUUCUGGCAUGUAUAUUCCUGCACCAUCCUCCCAGCAGACUACCGAAAUCCAAGUAUGAUCGGAGCGCCAAGUCAAAUUGCAACCAGAUCUGACAUGUUACCGGAGUGAUUUUUUGUGUGUGUGGUGGUUUUAAAUGUUUAUGUAAUUUUUUGCUUUCAGGGAACUUUGUCGGCUUGAUUUUCCAAAUCCCUUCUCUUGUUGCUUGUUGUUAUAAGAGUGCAUACCGCGCUCCUCCUUUUGGAACGUCCGCGAGCCAGUCUUCUCUGCCUUAUCUUUGCAUUUUCAUACUUUAUAGAUACAAUAUUUUAUUAAGAAUGUAAAUAUAUAAUUACUGUUAUUAAAACAUUUACACUUUGAACUCGACAGAGUCUUCUUUUUUUUAUUUUUAACGUAUUUUCCCCCCCUCAUAAAUAUGAGUUUCAUACCCAGAAGAGUGUGUGGACAGAUGUAAAAACAUUUGGAUUGUUCUAUCUACUUAUCAAACAUCUAACUGUCUCCCCAUUGUAUCUCUCUCCACAUCAAACUGCAAUCAACCAAAACCUUACCAAAGGAUGUCACUAUAGCUCCACAACGUAAUUAACAUAUUUGCAUUUUUCCGGCUACAGGUAAAUUCUUUUUAAAGUGCCAUCCAUAAAUAAAUUACAUAUAUAUAUUUAUACAUACACAUAAAUACAUAUAUAAGUGUCCGUUAUAAUUUUAAAGCUAGAGGAGAAAUUAUGAAGAUGAUUUUUUCCCGUGAUGAUUUUUCUUUUUUCUUUUUUUUUUUAGCAGAUAAUAACUUCCAGAAUGUUAAAUGGUCAAAGGACUAACUGGAGGCGGGGUUAAAACUGCAAACCACACCCUUUUUCCGGUUUAGUAUUGUUUCCGGUAUGCUGUACUGCCUUCUAGGUACCUAUUCGAUCAUUAUAGCAGUCAGCAGGCCCCUUAUAUAAUAAGCAUAAUGAAAAAGGAAGGAAACUCAAGGGGAAGAGUGGGAAGAAGGGAGAGAUGGAUCCCAAAUUAGAUUCCGUUUUUGGAAAUAAAACUUUUUAGUUUUAAUGUAUCACAGUGUUAUUAUAUGAUGAAUGUUACCAAUUCAUCUUACAUUUGAAAAUACCAAACACUUCCACUGAGCUAAACAGCUAAAUAAUAUUUACAGCAGACAUGGAUUUUUGAAACUCUUAAUUUUACAGAUAAUAGCAUUAAGAUCAGGA
ensembl:lncRNA